rnacentral:rRNA from 1 species
GCCACUGCUAUUGGGAUUCGAUUAAGCCAUGCGAGUCGUGAGGGUUCGGCCCUCGGCAGACGGCUCAGUAACACGUAGAUAAUUUGCCCUUAGGUGGAGGAUACCCUCGGGAAACUGAGAAUAAUACUCCAUAGAUCUAGACUGCUGGAAUGCUUUUAGAUUGAAAGAUUUAUCGCCUAAGGAUAAGUCUGCGGACUAUCAGGUUGUAGUCAGGGUAAAGACCUGACUAGCCUACGACGGAUACGGGUAGUGAGAGCUUUAGCCCGGAGAUGAUAUCUGAGACACGAUAUCAGGCCCUACGGGGCGCAGCAGGCGCGAAAACUUCGCACUGUGCGAGAGCACGACGAGGGAAUCCCAAGUGCUGGCUCGUAAGAGUCAGCUGUUUUUCUGUCUAAAAAACAGAGAGAGUAAGGCCUGGGUAAGACGGGUGCCAGCCGCCGCGGUAAUACCUGCAGACCAAGUGGUGGCCGCUAUUAUUGGGCCUAAAACGUCCGUAGCCGGUUCUAUAAAUGCCUGGGUAAAUCGUACGGCUUAACCGUACGAAUUCCGGGUAGACUGUUCAACUUGGGACCGGGAGAGGCUAGAGGUACUCCUGGGGUAGAGGUGAAAUUCUGUAAUCCUAGGGGGACCACCAGUGGCGAAGGCGUCUAGCUAGCACGGGUCUGACGGUGAGGGACGAAGCCCUGGGGAGCAAACGGGAUUAGAUACCCCGGUAGUCCAGGGUGUGAACGCUGCUCGCUUGAUGUUAGUCGGGCUCCGAGCCCGAUUAGUGUCGGAGAGAAGUUGUUAAGCGAGCUGCCUGGGGAGUACGGUCGCAAGACUGAAACUUAAAGGAAUUGGCGGGGGAGCAC